rnacentral:rRNA from 1 species
CGUGUAGGCGGUCCGCUAAGUCUGAUGUGAAAGCCCGGGGCUCACCCCCGGAAGUGCAUUGGAAACUGGCAGACUCGAGUCCCGGAGAGGAGAGUGGAAUUCCUGGUGUAGCGGUGAAAUGCGUAGAUAUCAGGAGGAACACCGGUGGCGAAGGCGGCUCUCUGGACGGUGACUGACGCUGAGACGCGAAAGCGUGGGGAGCAAACA